GUACGUAGGGGGCAAGCGUUGGUCCGGAUUUAUUGGGCGUAAGAGCGUGUAGGCGGCCAGGUAGGUCCGUUGUGAAACUGGAGGACUUAACCUCCAGCUCGUGAUGGAACCUCUGGCUAGAGAUCCGGAAGAGGAGAGUGGAAGUUCCUGGUGUAGCGGUGAAAUGCGCAGAUAUCAGGAGAACACCCGUGGCGAAGGCGGCUCCUC
rnacentral:rRNA from 1 species